rnacentral:lncRNA from 1 species
GUAAAGGAGUGAAAGAAGCCAUCCAGGAGGGGUGGGGCUGUGAGGUCAGGGAGGACAGACUUAGCUUCCAUUCAUUCCACUGAUUGGUUGUGCCACGUUCCAGUCACCAUUCUAGGCACCUCCCGCCCUGGAGUUUGCACAUGAGUGAGACAAGAAUACACGGGGUUGGGGAUUUAGCUCAGUGGUAGAGCGCUUGCCUAGCAAGCGCAAGGCCCUGGGUUUGGUCCCCAGCUCCGAAAAAAAGAAAAAAGAAAAAAAGAAGAAAAGAAGAAGAAGAAAAAAAAAAAGAAUACACAGCAAAGGCCGGGGAUGUUAGAGCCUUUAGCAAGCACUUAUCUGGACUCUAUUGCCAGUGCCAUGGAGUGGGGAUGGGGGUGGGGUAUCCAGGGUGGUGGCUCAGUCCUGUAACCCAAGGACUUGGGAGGCUGAGACAGAAGGCUCACCAUGAGUUUGUGGCUAGCCUGGGCUAUUUAGUGAAAUUCAGGGUAGCCUGGACUAGAGUAAGAGCCUGCAUCAAACAAAACAAAACUACCACAACGGUAAAUACACACACACACACACACACACACACACACACGCGCGCGCGCUCACGCGCGCCAGGUAGUAACCAUAGCAACCGUAAUAAAAAAUGUGAUGGAUGGAGAGUGACAGCAAAGGAUUGGGUACAUUCUUUUAGACAGAGUGGACAGGGCCUCUUUGAUACACUGAUUAUUUGAGCGGUGAGUUGACGAAAUGAGGAAGCUAACCGGAGAAGAAAAUGAUCUAGGAAUUGGAGGAGCAGGAGAUACAAAGGCCCUGAGGCAAGAAGCAUGGUGAGGCACAAAGACAGACAACGAGGAGCCAAAAUACAAGGGGUAACAGAAGGUGUGAUGGAGUCUAGGGCCCUUUGACGUUGAGUGGUUCUCUCUCUAUGCCUCUUCUACAGGGAGAAGAAUCUCCCCCCUGCCAGCCUCCAAGAGCCAACCCACAUUUCCGUGACCUGGCAGAGCCACUCCUACCCAUGUCUGGAGACUUGUCCCCAGCCCCUGCUGGACCCCCAACGGCCCCCUCCUUGGAGGAAGUGGUGCUACAGCAGCAGAGUCCCCUGAUCCAGGCCAGGGAGCUGGAGGCUGAGCCUGGGGAACAUGGCCAG